rnacentral:rRNA from 1 species
CGUGAGGGAUGACGGCCUUCGGGUUGUAAACCUCUUUUAGCAGGGAAGAAGCGAAAGUGACGGUACCUGCAGAAAAAGCGCCGGCUAACUACGUGCCAGCAGCCGCGGUAAUACGUAGGGCGCAAGCGUUAUCCGGAAUUAUUGGGCGUAAAGAGCUCGUAGGCGGUUUGUCGCGUCUGCUGUGAAAUCCCGAGGCUCAACCUCGGGCCUGCAGUGGGUACGGGCAGACUAGAGUGCGGUAGGGGAGAUUGGAAUUCCUGGUGUAGCGGUGGAAUGCGCAGAUAUCAGGAGGAACACCGAUGGCGAAGGCAGAUCUCUGGGCCGUAACUGACGCUGAGGAGCGAAAGGGUGGGGAGCAAACAGGCUUAGAUACCCUGGUAGUCCACCCCGUAAACGUUGGGAACUAGUUGUGGGGUCCAUUCCACGGAUUCCGUGACGCAGCUAACGCAUUAAGUUCCCCGCCUGGGGAGUACGGCCGCAAGGCUAAAACUCAAAGGAAUUGACGGGGACCCGCACAAGCGGCGGAGCAUGCGGAUUAAUUCGAUGCAACGCGAAGAACCUUACCAAGGCUUGACAUAUACGAGAACGGGCCAGAAAUGGUCAACUCUUUGGACACUCGUAAACAGGUGGUGCAUGGUUGUCGUCAGCUCGUGUCGUGAGAUGUUGGGUUAAGUCCCGCAACGAGCGCAACCCUCGUU